rnacentral:tRNA from 1 species
GUCCCCAUAGCUUACCCAAAAGCAUGGCACUGAAGAUGCCAAGACGGUAUCCAUAUCACCUGGGAAC